UUCUAUUUUAUUCUGGUAGUAGGAAGCCACUUUUAUUUGUAACACUCUCAUAGUUUUAUUUUAAAUUUUUAUGUGUUUUAUUAGUGGGCGCAUGAUUAGAGAGGAGUAUUUUGACAAUCAUUCUUAUGUAUCUGGUUACUUUAUAAAGAGGUUAAGUCUCAGUGCCAGCAUUCGCGGUUAAACUGAUUUCUUUGGGCUCCUUUUCAGUGUAAAUUUUAUGGUUAAUUACUUGUGACUUUUAUUUUUAAACGUGUUUGAAGUCUUUUGUAGUUUUUUAAUAUAUUUUAAGCUUUUUUUUAUAGACAGGGAUUAGAGACCUCUUUAUUAAGAGUUUGAUUUUUUUAUGCUGCAGUUACAACUGAAAGAAAUUGUCAGCUAAUUAUAUUCGUUUAGGGGAGUGUGUGACUUAAAAAGAUGAUCCACUUAAUGAUUUGCCAGCUCUAUUGUAGUUAGUGUACAUCCGGGUAUAAGCUAUAAAUUUGAGUUUUAGUGCGUAGAUUUAUUUAAAAUUUAAUUCAGGUCAAUGUGCUGCUGAUGGGUUGGUUGUUAUGCUCUACAUUUAUUUAAUUUAAAAUUUUUGAUAGUUUUUUGUUGGGACUUAAUAGUAAAGUUGUUUUGCAUAGGCAUCUUGAAUUAGACUGGAUUAGUGUACACAUUGCCCGUCAACUUCGAUAUGAUUUGAAGUAAGUCGUAACAUGGUAGUUUUAGGGGAACCUUAAGCUAUAAUAGU
rnacentral:rRNA from 1 species